CAGUAGCCGCGGUAAAACGUAGGUGGCAAGCGUUGUCCGGAAUUAUUGGGCGUAAAGGGCUCGCAGGCGGUUUCUUAAGUCUGAAGUGAAAGCCCCCGGCUCAACCGGGGAGGGUCAUUGGAAACUGGGAAACUUAGGUGCAGAAGAGGAGAGUGGAAUUCCACGUGUAGCGGUGAAAUGCGUAGAGAUGUGGAGGAACACCAGUGGCGAAGGCGACUCUCUGGUCUGUAACUGACGCUGAGGAGCGAAAGCGUGGGGAGCGAACAGGAUUAGAUACCCCCGUAGUCCCUGUCUCUUAUAC
rnacentral:rRNA from 1 species